GAUGAAGAACGUAGCGAAAUGCGAUAAGUAAUGUGAAUUGCAGAAUUCAGUGAAUCAUCGAAUCUUUGAACGCACAUUGCGCCCUCUGGUAUUCCGGGGGGCAUGCCUGUUCGAGCGUCAUUAUAACCACUCAAGCUCUCGCUUGGUAUUGGAGUUCGCGAUCUCGCGGCUCCUAAAAUCAGUGGCGGUGCCUGUCGGCUCUACGCGUAGUAAUACUCCUCGCGAUUGAGUCCGGUAGGUUUACUUGCCAGCAACCCCCAAUUUUUACAGGUUGACCUCGGAUCAGGUAGGGAUACCCGCUGAACUUAAGCAUACAAUAAGCGGAGGA
rnacentral:misc_RNA from 1 species